UACGUAGGGUGCAGGCGUUAAUCGGAAUUACUGGGCGUAAAGCGUGCGCAGGCGGUCUCUUAAGACAGGUGUGAAAUCCCCGAGCUUAACUUGGGAACUGCGCUUGUAACUGAGAGGCUAGAGUGUGGCAGAGGGGGGUGGAAUUCCACGUGUAGCAGUGAAAUGCGUAGAGAUGUGGAGGAACACCGAUGGCGAAGGCGGCCCCCUGGGCUAACACUGACGCUCAUGCACGAAAGCGUGGGGAGCAAACAGG
rnacentral:rRNA from 1 species